UAAAAAAGCGCCAAAUUUUCUGUUCUUUUCAUUCACUCCAUUCAAAGAACCCUAAGCCCCAAAUUGCAAAAUAAGGAUGGCACAGACUCUCUACUACCACUGCCUUGCUGUCCUCCCUCUCCAAUUGGUGCUCUCUCUCUCUCUGAGUGUGUAAUGUGCUUAACUGAAGUUCAAUUUUACUUUGAUUUCAACUCAGUUGAUUUCUAAGGUUUCACGGAAAUUUAUUUGCGUCUGCUUGGAGGAAACAGAUGCCUAAAUUGGAUGUCUCUCUUGGACAUGGUGAUAAAAUGCCUAGUAAUUUCUUUUUUGUGUUAUGUUAUAUUAUUUUGUUCAUAUUAUUGCUUUGGCUUGAGAAAUAGGAGUAAUUUCUCAAAAAAGCUAUGUGAGUUUCCCCAUCUGUCCAAGCAUUGAUAAGAGUUACCCGGUGCCUGUACUGGUGGAAGAUAACAGUACCCGAUGGAAUAGUCGAGGUGCACGCAAAAUGGCCCGACACCGCUGUCAUAAAAAAAUAGAGUACUUUGUCUUUCAUAGUCUUAUAGUUUGAUGAAAUAAGCUUAAUUUAAGAGAAAUGCAUAGUGAGGAACUAGCUUUUUUUUUUGGUGUGGUUUGUCUUCUGUUUAGGUGGAAAAGAUUAACAUGUCAUAAGUAAAUUCUUAGGGAAUUUUACCUGUGCUUGUGACUUUUGAGUAGGUCUGCAGUUGAAAGGUCGGGUUAGUUUGGAAGUUUAGGUGAUUAGUGGCUUUGACUUGAGAGAUCAUUUUACUGUUUACCCUUUUUAUUCAUAUCUGUGAUUGAGUUUGUUAUGGGAUGUGUUCUUGGAGUUAAAUUGGACUACUUUCUACUGAUAUCCGCUAUAUGUGUUAGUAAAUCUUACUUUAUAAGGUCUAAUCUCACAUUAGAUAAGUGUAUCUUUGCAAGGGAUACAGAAAUCCUAAGUUUGAACUGCCAAGUUUGCUAAAGCCAGAAAUCCCUCAAGUGCCCAGAAGCCUUGAGCGUGAGGUGUAUAAACUCUCUUUUGCCUCAUUGAAGCAAUCUUGAAAUUUACACUUCAUUGUAUCAUAUGAAUUAUGAUCAAAUAUUUUUUUGUUAUUCUUGAAUCAUUUAAAGCGUUCUUUCUGGACGGAUUAUUUAUGUGAUAUUGUGUCCUCAGUUGCACCUUCCUGUUGGAAGAAUUGUUUAUGUGAUUGUUCCAAUGUGUCAUCAAUUAACUAAUGUAUUUAUGUUCUAGUGGCAUUAUAUACACAUCAUUUUAACUUAAUUUUCCUACUUUAUAAAAUUCCUCAGCUUAACAAAUUUCUCUUGGCUGCAUCACUUUCAUCUUUUUCCUCCAAAAUAUCAUAACAAAUCAGAAUGCGAUGUUUGACAGAACCGAGAACAUUUUGCUAGAACUAUCUCCUACUGCUUGAAGUUUCAUUUUCUAGUAGAAACUAGAAAGAUACAAUUCUAGUAGUAUGUCAGAAGGAUGUAUCUCUUCGCUAUGAAUGACGUGCUAUUUGCUUUCUGGGACAUGAAUGAUGUGCUAUUUAACUGUUAAUUUAUUGAUAGCCUUAACUUGAUUUAAUGCAUUUGAUUUCUUAAUAAUGUGUAGAUAUGCAUUGAGAAGAAAACUAUUCUAUCGGUUGAAGACAUUCUUGCUCUUAUUGGAGAUAGGUGUGAUGGAGUCAUUGGACAGUUGACAGAGGACUGGGGAGAGACACUAUUCUCUGCAUUAAGCAGGGCUUGAGGGAAAGCUUUCAGUAACAUGGCUGUAGGAUACAACAAUAUUGACGUUGAAGCUGCUAACAAGUACGGUGUUGCUGUUGGAAACACACCUGUAAGUUUAUACUUCUUCAUAUUUGCUUUGUAGUCAUCCAGUUUUAUUGAUACUGCAAUAAUCAGUAACUUCAUGCUUGUAAAGAAUAUGGAGUUACCAGAGGAAUACUCAAAAUGUGGAAAAAGUGCGAGUCCAAAAUCAUAUCAAACAUAUCCUGUAUUUUUUUUAGUAACUCAAAGAAAGAAGUAAAGUAGACUGGUCAUGCGUAGCAGUUUAUGUCUGAAGUACACACUUCUAGCUGUUAGUACCAGUAAUCAUUUUAGAGUUUAUGAAUGUCCGUGCUUAGCUAGCUUUCCUUGAAUAAAUCUUGUGAUUUAGCAUGGAUCCGUAGUUCAUUUUUUUUGUGUGUGUGUGGGGGAAGGGGGGGCUGAAAGGGGGAGGAAUGUUCUAGUUUUGUACUUUUUCUUUUUUUUGGCAAAUUAUACUACUAGGCGUGCCUAGUAGUUAUUUUAUUAAUAAUAAAAAAGAAAAGUACAACACAUAGGGAAAGUACAAAUAAGGGGGACAAUAGCACCAGUGGUGUUACCUAUAUGCCUUGGCUAUAUAAUCACUCCCCUACGCCUUACAUUGCCUUAUGAGGAUCUGCCAAUUUUUGGCAAAGUUGGUGAUCCAACUGAAGCAAAGUCUUCACCUUCACUAUAUUGAUCAUCAUCCUCAAUCGAAUUCCCAGCAUACUCAUCACCCCAAUCCUCUUCAUCAUCCUCCUCAUGUUGGUCAGCCCAAUUUGGAUUCGAUAACCAUCUUCCUUACAUUUGCCUGUAUAACUUCGUUGUUAUUUCCAGUGGACAGCAUCAACUGCCCUGGUUCACCUCCAUAUUCACUAUAAGACUCCAAAGACUGUGAUGGUACUUCAAAAACUGAGGUGUUCAAAGUGACCAUUGGUUGUUUAACCAUAUUAGUAUUCAUCAUCAUUGCAUUUUGAGCCUCUUUGAUGAUUUGUUCCACUUGAGGGUUGGAAAAAUGCCGUGUAGGAGUGUUAGAACUGUGUGCCUUGCCCGUUGGCUCCUCUCGAAUAAUCAAGUCGUUUAUCAAAUUUCCACUGCCUUGAUCUCGUUUGCUACUGCUGGAAAUUGGAAUUGAAUGUUGCUGCUGUUUUGCAGUGGCUUUAGAUUGCCUCGAUUUUAUAUUUGACUCAUGCUGACCUUGCUGCCCGUCCUUCCAAACAUCUUCCAGAACUUGUUCAUUCAUCAAAGCCUCAUACGAGUUAGAAAGAGUAACAUUUUUUGCUGUAGUGGACUGAGUGUGAGGACUUUGUACGAUUUACUACUGCCCAAUUAUUAUUUUUGACUGAUCCAAUAUUUGAAGAUCUGCUAUUGGACUUGAUGCUUUUUCAAUUAAAUCAGCAUGUGCAGCAGUAGGUUUCACAACCCCAGCAGCAACUCGAUUUGUCUUCAAUGUAACAGCAGCCCCUAAAUUUGAACCUUCAGCAGAUCCACGAUCUCCUUUAACAAGAUCUCCCUUGUCAAUUUUCUGUCCUUCCCUAUUAGCAUCAGUAGCUUUAGAAGCUAAUUUAGUAACCUGUUGAUCCUUAGCUUUUCCUUUGUCACUAGAAGUUUUCCCAACACCUGGAACAUCUGAUCCAAUAUCAAUAGCAGCAUCUAGACGAUCUGCUUGUACAGCUAAUUCAACAUUGGAAGAUGUAUGAUGUUAUCACCUGUACCAGUCACAUUGUGCAAAGUAUCAAAUCCUUCCAUUUAUUGCAUCUCAGCAUGCUUAACAGCAUCCAUCCCAGCUGCUGCAUUAUGCAUUGCUGGACCAUCAGCAUAUCGACUAUCAUUUCCAGGUAAUGCAACAGUUGUUGCCUUACUCACUGCAUUGUAGAUUGUUGCCAAAGCUCUUGUAGCAGGGUUAUCAGCUGGAAGUUUUUUUUUCACAAUAGCAGGAGCUGCAGCAGAUGUGCCUGACAAAUGCAUCACCUGCUCAGCCUGUUCAACACAUGUUUGAUCAACCAGUGCUUGAAAACAGAUGCACCAGCCGCAGCCAUUGCAUUAUUCAAACCAUUUCCCUUUAAAUUUGUAUCAGCUUCCCUUAUAAGUGUACAGCUGAUAUUUUUUCUUUGUUAGCUCGAUCAACAGUAGCAUCCAAAGACAGUGGAAGUGAGUAAGUGAGUCACUCUGCCCAGUUACACCUACAACUUGAGUAGUCUUAGUAAUAGCUGUUUCAACAGGAACCAAAGUGGUGCCAGCAAACCUAUGAGGCAGUGACCUUUUGUGCCAAUGUGUGUUGGCAGCAGCUCACAUAAUAUUUUUAAAUCUGGUGCACCUGGGGAUAGUUUAAUCAUAAUAGCCUGAUGUAAACCUUCCUCAAUGGCAAAUUGUUGGCGUUCUUCAAUGGUGAAAACAACAGUGGGCUCUCCAUGUAUGAUUUGGACAGGUUUUAUCGUUGCUUUUGUAGCUGUUUUGGAUGAGAUUUGUGCAGCAUAUGUAGGUUUAGUUAAAGGCUCUCCCAUAACCAAAGGCUGGGGAGAGGAUGAUGCAUCCAUGGAAGGUUUUGACACACCAUUGCUGUACAAGAAACAGAAGAAAGCAGCAACAACGAUGUUCCCUGAAAACAGAACUGGGCGCUACAGUGAUCGCCGAACUAUUUUCAAGAUCUGUUACAGAUGGAUAUGGAUUUGGGGAUGAAACCAAUUGGGGAUUGUGCGCAAAGACUAGGAGCUUCUUUUGAGACCAAAUUUGUGAGAUUCCACCGCCGGAUGGCGGCGUAGUGCCCUCCGCAAAUCUGCGGCGCUACUGUUCACUCGAGUCUCUAGAGAGAAGCCUAGUUUUGUACUGUCUAGGCAGAACAUGGAUUUUCUUCGGGCAGAAAGUCACAUUUUCACUCGCUCAGUUUUUGCUUGACCUGGGUUUUACAAGGUAAAAUGAAUAAAUGUUGAGAGCUUUGUAAUCAGCAGUCCUUUUAAAAGAAAAAAGGAAACUGUUAAUGAGCAGUGAUCUGUGUCACUGCAAAUAUUCCUGUUUCAACCUGUUGGGUAGUAAGUUUAAGGAUUCUCACAGUACCUUAUAUGUGUUUAGUUCAUAUUUGUCUAUGUUACUCCAACAAAUUAUUUUUUGUAUGUAAGAUUACUGUUGUAUCCUCUUCUUGUCUGCAAAAAUGAUUGAAGAAUUAAUUGGCCGAGGAUAGCAAAUUGAUGUCGUAUAUUUCACUUGUGAAGUUGGACUUACUGAUAGGUUCCCUCUUGUUUCCCUUAUGCAAGCUUAUCGAAAUGAUGCGAAAAAAGCUGGUUCCGCAAUUCUAGAAGACCCAAAUAAUUCUGGUCGAGUUGCGGUAUCAUCCACUUCUUUUUCUCCUGUUAUGUAUAUUUUUAUCCAGCUUUCUGUAUCUUGUUUAAAUCUUUUCUCCACAUUGUCUCAACUAUCUUGUUCUAUGUUAGUGAUAGUUGGCAAUAUC